UACGGAAGGCAGCAGGGGGAAUAUUGCACAAUGGGCGCAAGCCUGAUGCAGCCAUGCCGCGUGUAUGAAGAAGGCCUUCGGGUUGUAAAGUACUUUCAGUCGUGAGGAAGGUGUUAAGGUUAAUAACCUUAGCAAUUGACGUUAGCGACAGAAGAAGCACCGGCUAACUCCGUGCCAGCAGCCGCGGUAAUACGGAGGGUGCGAGCGUUAAUCGGAAUUACUGGGCGUAAAGGGCACGCAGGCGGUUAAUUAAGUUGGAUGUGAAAUCCCCGGGCUUAACCUGGGAAUGGCAUUCAAGCUGGUUAGCUAGAGUCUUGUAGAGGGGGUAGAAUUCCAUGUGUAGCGGCGAAAUGCGUAGAGAUGUGGAGGAAUACCGGUGGCGAAGGCGGCCCCUGGACAAAGACUGACGCUCAUGUGCGAAAGCGUGGGGAGCAAACAGGGAUUAGAUACC
rnacentral:rRNA from 1 species